UUAAGCGACUAAGCGUACACGGUGGAUGCCCUGGCAGUCAGAGGCGAUGAAGGACGUGCUAAUCUGCGAAAAGCGCCGGCGAGGUGAUAUGAACCUUUGACCCGGCGAUGUCCGAAUGGGGAAACCCAGUGCAAUCCGUUGCACUAUCGUUAACUGAAUACAUAGGUUAACGAGGCGAACCGGGGGAACUGAAACAUCUAAGUACCCCGAGGAAAAGAAAUCAACCGAGAUUCCCCCAGUAGCGGCGAGCGAACGGGGAGCAGCCCGGAGUCUGAAUCAGCUUGUGUGUUAGUGGAACGGUCUGGAAAGUCCGACGGUACAGGGUGAUAGUCCCGUACACGAAAGCACACAUGCUGUGAACUCGAAGAGUAGGGCGGGACACGUGGUAUCCUGUCUGAAUAUGGGGGGACCAUCCUCCAAGGCUAAAUACUCCUGACUGACCGAUAGUGAACCAGUACCGUGAGGGAAAGGCGAAAAGAACCCCGGCGAGGGGAGUGAAAAAGAACCUGAAACCGUGUACGUACAAGCAGUGGGAGCCUCUUUAUGGGGUGACUGCGUACCUUUUGUAUAAUGGGUCAGCGACUUAUAUUCUGUAGCAAGGUUAACCGUAUAGGGGAGCCGAAGGGAAACCGAGUCUUAACUGGGCGUUAAGUUGCAGGGUAUAGACCCGAAACCCGGUGAUCUAGCCAUGGGCAGGUUGAAGGUUGGGUAACACUAACUGGAGGACCGAACCGACUAAUGUUGAAAAAUUAGCGGAUGACCUGUGGCUGGGGGUGAAAGGCCAAUCAAACCGGGAGAUAGCUGGUUCUCCCCGAAAGCUAUUUAGGUAGCGCCUCGUGAAUUCAUCUUCGGGGGUAGAGCACUGUUUCGGCUAGGGGGCCAUCCCGGCUUACCAACCCGAUGCAAACUACGAAUACCGAAGAAUGUUAUCACGGGAGACACACGGCGGGUGCUAACGUCCGUCGUGAAGAGGGAAACAACCCAGACCGCCAGCUAAGGUCCCAAAGUCAUGGUUAAGUGGGAAACGAUGUGGGAAGGCACAGACAGCCAGGAUGUUGGCUUAGAAGCAGCCAUCAUUUAAAGAAAGCGUAAUAGCUCACUGGUCGAGUCGGCCUGCGCGGAAGAUGUAACGGGGCUAAACCAUGCACCGAAGCUGCGGCAGCGACACUUAUGUGUUGUUGGGUAGGGGAGCGUUCUGUAAGCCGUUGAAGGUGUGCUGUGAGGCAUGCUGGAGGUAUCAGAAGUGCGAAUGCUGACAUAAGUAACGAUAAAGCGGGUGAAAAGCCCGCUCGCCGGAAGACCAAGGGUUCCUGUCCAACGUUAAUCGGGGCAGGGUGAGUCGACCCCUAAGGCGAGGCCGAAAGGCGUAGUCGAUGGGAAACAGGUUAAUAUUCCUGUACUUGGUGUUACUGCGAAGGGGGGACGGAGAAGGCUAUGUCAGCCGGGCGACGGUUGUCCCGGUUUAAGCAUGUAGGCGGAGGUUCCAGGUAAAUCCGGUACCUUUUAACGCUGAGGUGUGAUGACGAGGCACUACGGUGCUGAAGUGAUAAAUGCCCUGCUUCCAGGAAAAGCCUCUAAGCAUCAGGUAACACGAAAUCGUACCCCAAACCGACACAGGUGGUCAGGUAGAGAAUACCAAGGCGCUUGAGAGAACUCGGGUGAAGGAACUAGGCAAAAUGGUGCCGUAACUUCGGGAGAAGGCACGCUGAUGUGUAGGUGAAGCCCCUGCGGGUGGAGCUGAAAUCAGUCGAAGAUACCAGCUGGCUGCAACUGUUUAUUAAAAACACAGCACUGUGCAAACACGAAAGUGGACGUAUACGGUGUGACGCCUGCCCGGUGCCGGAAGGUUAAUUGAUGGGGUUAGCGGCAACGCGAAGCUCUUGAUCGAAGCCCCGGUAAACGGCGGCCGUAACUAUAACGGUCCUAAGGUAGCGAAAUUCCUUGUCGGGUAAGUUCCGACCUGCACGAAUGGCGUAAUGAUGGCCAGGCUGUCUCCACCCGAGACUCAGUGAAAUUGAACUCGCUGUGAAGAUGCAGUGUACCCGCGGCAAGACGGAAAGACCCCGUGAACCUUUACUAUAGCUUGACACUGAACACUGGUCCUUGAUGUGUAGGAUAGGUGGGAGGCUUUGAAGCGUGGACGCCAGUCUGCGUGGAGCCAACCUUGAAAUACCACCCUUUAAUGGCUGGUGUUCUAACGUGGACCCGUAAUCCGGGUUGCGGACAGUGUCUGGUGGGUAGUUUGACUGGGGCGGUCUCCUCCCAAAGAGUAACGGAGGAGCACGAAGGUUGGCUAAUCCUGGUCGGACAUCAGGAGGUUAGUGCAAUGGCAUAAGCCAGCUUGACUGCGAGCGUGACGGCGCGAGCAGGUGCGAAAGCAGGUCAUAGUGAUCCGGUGGUUCUGAAUGGAAGGGCCAUCGCUCAACGGAUAAAAGGUACUCCGGGGAUAACAGGCUGAUACCGCCCAAGAGUUCAUAUCGACGGCGGUGUUUGGCACCUCGAUGUCGGCUCAUCACAUCCUGGGGCUGAAGUAGGUCCCAAGGGUAUGGCUGUUCGCCAUUUAAAGUGGUACGCGAGCUGGGUUUAGAACGUCGUGAGACAGUUCGGUCCCUAUCUGCCGUGGGCGCUGGAGAAUUGAGGGGGGCUGCUCCUAGUACGAGAGGACCGGAGUGGACGCAUCACUGGUGUUCGGGUUGUCAUGCCAAUGGCAUUGCCCGGUAGCUAAAUGCGGAAGAGAUAAGUGCUGAAAGCAUCUAAGCACGAAACUUGCCCCGAGAUGAGUUCUCCCUGAGACUUUAAGUCUCCUGAAGGAACGUUGAAGACGACGACGUUGAUAGGUCGGGUGUGUAAGCGCAGCGAUGCGUUGAGCUAACCGAUACUAAUGAACCGUGAGGCUUAACCUU
rnacentral:rRNA from 1 species